AGUGAACGCUGGCGGUAGGCCUAACACAUGCCAGUCGAACGGCAGCACAGUAAGAGCUUGCUCUUACGGGUGGCGAGUGGCGGACGGGUGAGGAAUACAUCGGAAUCUACUUUUUCGUGGGGGAUAACGUAGGGAAACUUACGCUAAUACCGCAUACGACCUACGGGUGAAAGCAGGGGAUCUUCGGACCUUGCGCGAUUGAAUGAGCCGAUGUCGGAUUAGCUAGUUGGCGGGGUAAAGGCCCACCAAGGCGACGAUCCGUAGCUGGUCUGAGAGGAUGGUCAGCCACACUGGAACUUGGACACGGUCCCGAAUCCUACGGGAGGGAGGAGUGGGGAAUAUUGGACAAUGGGCGCAAGCCUGAUCCAGCCAUACCGCGUGGGUGAAGAAGGCCUUCGGGUUUUAAAACCCUUUUGUUGGGAAAGAAAAGCAGCAGGUUAAAACCCCGCUGUUCUGACGGUACCCAAAGAAUAAGCACCGGCUAACUUCGUG
rnacentral:rRNA from 1 species